rnacentral:rRNA from 1 species
CACGUAGGGCGCAAGCGUUGUCCGGAAUUAUUGGGCGUAAAGAGCUCGUAGGUGGUUUGUUACGUCUGCUGUGAAAACCUAGGGCUUAACCCUGGGCUUGCAGUGGAUACGGGCAGACUAGAGGUAGGUAGGGGAGAAUGGAAUUCCUGGUGUAGCGGUGAAAUGCGCAGAUAUCAGGAGGAACACCGGUGGCGAAGGCGGUCUCUGGGCCUUACCUGACACUGAGGAGCGAAAGCGUGGGGAGCGAACAGG